CAGGUGCUGCAUGGCUGUCGUCAGCUCGUGUCGUGAGAUGUUGGGUUAAGUCCCGCAACGAGCGCAACCCUUGUCCCUAGUUGCUACGCAAGAGCACUCCAGGGAGACUGCCGGUGACAAACCGGAGGAAGGUGGGGAUGACGUCAAGUCCUCAUGGCCCUUAUGGGUAGGGCUUCACACGUCAUACAAUGGUCGGAACAGAGGGUCGCCAACCCGCGAGGGGGAGCCAAUCCCAGAAAACCGAUCGUAGUCCGGAUCGCACUCUGCAACUCGAGUGCGUGAAGCUGGAAUCGCUAGUAAUCGCGGAUCAGCAUGCC
rnacentral:rRNA from 1 species